rnacentral:piRNA from 1 species
UCAAUAAACUCUGUAUCAGCCCUC